rnacentral:ribozyme from 15 species
AAAAAAAAAAACACACACACACACGAAUGUAUCCAAAUGUGUGCAUGUUUCACGUCGUCGUCGUGGUUUUUUUUUUCAAUCUAUUUUUUUUAAUCUUUAUC